ensembl:snRNA Gm23303 predicted gene, 23303
AUACUUACCUGGCAAGGGAGAUGCCAUGAUCUCAAAGGUGGUUUUCCUGGCCAAGACUUCUCUAUUGCACUCCAAUAUGCUGACCCCUGUGAUUUCCCCAAAGGUGGGAAACUCAACUGCACUAUAUAUAAAACUGCUUUUAUAGAGGACCC